ACAGCGUGUAAAUGAUGACACAUGAGGUUGAGGGCAAUUCCUGAUAGGUGCUGAGCACCAUCUAGCUGCAAAGUCAGCACCUUCGGAACUGUCCUCAACCUUGUCUGAGAUCAUGGCCUGCUUAAAU
rnacentral:precursor_RNA from 7 species